AUCAUCGGCACGGGGUGCCGCGUCCCCGCAGGGGACCUGGCUGAGACCACACCCGUUGAACCUGCACCUGAUCAUGCUCGCGAAGGGAUGCCCGAUGACCUCACC
rnacentral:ncRNA from 1 species